rnacentral:misc_RNA from 1 species
UACGGAGGAUCCAAGCGUUAUCCGGAAUCAUUGGGUUUAAAGGGUCCGUAGGCGGGAUAAUAAGUCAGUGGUGAAAGUCUGCAGCUUAACUGUAGAACUGCCAUUGAUACUGUUGUCCUUGAGUAAUUAUGAAGUGGUUAGAAUAUGUAGUGUAGCGGUGAAAUGCAUAGAUAUUACUCAGAAUACCGAUUGCGAAGGCAGAUCACUAAUAAUAUACUGACGCUGAUGGACGAAAGCGUAGGUAGCGAACAGG